UGAGGAUCACAGAGCUCACCCCAUAAAUGAAAAACUGUAUGAAAUGUCACUUAAGCCUUUAACUUCUCAUGGUUGCAUUCAGCUGGUGCUGUCAAGCACGUGAUGCAGAACCUGGGAUUCACUAAUCAAGAGGUGAUGUUGAGAAGAAGCCUCGAGACAUGACGGGAGAUAAAGAGGAGGGAUAGAAAAACACUGCAACCCUCUCUGAACUAAACAUCCUGCUCUUCACGAAGUAAGUGGUCUUUCUCCCUUUUUUUC